rfam:Aedes aegypti strain Liverpool supercont1.717 genomic scaffold, whole genome shotgun sequence.
UGCCCAGCAACUCCUAUCCCUACCUCCUCGUUGUAAUGGCCGGGGUACGAGUAACCUUAGGGAAGAUCGGGUAACCAACCCCCGGUGGGAACUUUGGUCGUAUGCUGACAGGGAAGG